UUUAAAUAUUGAAUAAAGUUUGUUGAUGUUUCAGACUACAUAAAACCGACAGGGUCGAUAGAUGAUUGGUAAAAAGAGGAUUAUUAUGUUGUUCCUUUUGUAUCAGGAGGAAAGGACUUUAGAUAAAUGAGUGAUUUUUCCCGAAAAAGAGAGAUCUUUAAAGAUUUGUGGAAAUAGUUGAACUUCUUCUUUAAAAUCUUUAAAGUUAUGAAAAGUAAGUCGUUCUCUUUAUAUCUGGUUCCUAAAGAAUUGUUAUAAGACUGUUGGGUGUAUGUCAGACCAAGAAGAAUUAAAUUUGAUAGGUAUACACUUGUAGAUAGAUAGGGGAUAAGCUCUGUCUUGGAGUAGAUAGAUAGAAAGGGAUAUUAAUUUUAGUAAAAUUUAUUUUUGGUAAAUUGGAUUUACAUUGGUUUUCUACAGUAGAAAAAGGAAUUUUAUAGAAUUGAAAAUUAAUAAUUAUGAUUUUUCCAUUAGUAUAUAAGUUAAAUAAAAGCAAAGGAACUCGGCAAACUAAUGUGUUAGCCUGUUUAUUAAAAACAUCUCCUCCAGAAGGAAAUUUGAGGUAUGAUCUGCUCUAUGUUUAGAUAAAUGGCCGCAGUAUCUUGACUGUGCUAAGGUAGCAUAAUAAUUUGGCUUUUAAUUGGAGUCUGGAAUGAAUGAUUGGACUGACAAUGACUGUCUCUGUUUUAAAUGUAAAAUUUUAGCUUUCUGUAAAAAUUCAGAAAUUUGUAAGAGUGACGAAAAGACCCUAAGAUCUUUAUUAUUUUAAAUAGAUAUGCCCAUUUAAAAUAAAUUAUUUGGGAUGAAUCCAAAAAAUAUGAACAUUGGUUAAUAGUCUCAUCGAUUUACUGAUCUUAUGGUAGAUCUCCGAUGGAGAUAUAGGGGGAGAUACCUUAGGGAUAACAGGAUAAUUCCAAAAUUCUAGGUCUUAUAGAAUUUUAGGAUUGUUACCUCGAUGUUGAAUUAAGUUAUCCUUGCUGAGCAAAAUAAGCAAUAGGUUGGUCUGUUCGACCAUUAAAAACUUACAUGAUUUGAGUUUAGACCGACGUGAGUCAGGUCAGAUUCUAUCUUCUUAUAUAUUAGGAUAUUCUGAUUGUACGAAAGGACUUUAGAUAAAUUAUUCUGUUAAUUA
rnacentral:rRNA from 1 species